rnacentral:ncRNA from 1 species
UCCCUGGUUGAUCCUGCCAGUAGUCAUAUGCUUGUCUCAAAGAUUAAGCCAUGCAUGUGCAAGUAUGAACCAAUUUGAACUGUGAAACUGCGAAUGGCUCAUUAAA